GACGAACGCUGGCGGCGUGCUUAACACAUGCAAGUCGAACGGUAGGGCCCCUUCGGGGGUACACGAGUGGCGAACGGGUGAGUAACACGUGGGUAAUCUGCCCUGCACUUCGGGAUAAGCCUGGGAAACCGGGUCUAAUACCGGAUAUGAACUCCUGCCGCAUGGUGGGGGUUGGAAAGUUUUUCGGUGCAGGAUGAGCCCGCGGCCUAUCAGCUUGUGGGUGGGGUAAUGGCCUACCAAGGCGACGACGGGUAGCCGGCCUGAGAGGGUGAUCGGCAACGCUGGGACCGAGACACGGCCCAGACUCCUACGGGAGGCAGCAGUGGGGAAUAUUGCACAAUGGGCGAAAGCCUGAUGCAGCGGCGCCGCGUGGGGGAUGACGGUCUUCGGAUUGUAAACCCCUGUCAGUAGGGACGAAGCGCAAGUGACGGUACCUGCAGAAGAAGCACCGGCUAACUACGUGCCAGCCGCCGCCGUAA
rnacentral:rRNA from 1 species